rnacentral:rRNA from 1 species
GAACCUACGGGGGGCAGCAGUGGGGAAUAUUGUGCAAUGGGGGAAACCCUGACGCAGCAACGCCGCGUGAGUGAGGAAGUAUCUCGGUAUGUAAAGCUCUAUCAGCGGGGAAGAAAGAGGACGGUACCCGACUAAGAAGCCCCGGCUAACUACGUGCCAGCAGCCGCGGUAAUACGUAGGUGGCGAGCGUUGUCCGGAAUUACUGGGUGUAAAGGGAGUGUAGGCGGGGAAGCAAGUCAGAAGUGAAAACUAUGGGCUUAACCCAUAGCCUGCUUUUGAAACUGUUUUUCUUGAGUGAAGUAGAG